UGGCUCUCGCAUCGAUGAAGAACGCAGCGAAAUGCGAUAAGUAAUGUGAAUUGCAGAAUUCAGUGAAUCAUCGAAUCUUUGAACGCACCUUGCGCUCCUUGGUAUUCCGAGGAGCAUGCCUGUUUGAGUGUCAUUAAAUUCUCAACCUCUCUAGUUUUCUGAACUAGUAGAUGGCUUGGAUGUGGGGGUUUGUGCAGGCUUUCACAAGUCAGCUCCCCUGAAAUGCAUUAGCCGGUACUCUCUGACCGUCUAUUGGUGUGAUAAUUAUCUACGCCGUGGACAGAAGAACUUGUGCUGCUUACAACCGUCCUGCAUGGGACAAUCAAUGACAUUUUGGCCUCAAAUCAGGUAGGACUACCCGCUGA
rnacentral:misc_RNA from 1 species